rfam:Heterocephalus glaber contig60098, whole genome shotgun sequence.
GGGGAUGUAGCUCAGUGGUAGAGCACUUGCCUAGCACAGGCAUGGCCCUGGGUUCCAUCCCCAGCACCACUC